AAGCUGGCAUGGCAAGCUUUCCCCAGGUACUGACUUCCACAACUAAAAACUUACUGCAGUUUAAUUAGCGUCUUAUCUUCGUUUCAUUACAAUCUAAAUCAAAAUUAGUUUUUUUUUUCAAGAAUAAAUCACAAUUAGUUGACAUCUCAGCUUCCACAUUCGAGACAUCCAUAGGAUUAUAAAUCUAGCAUCGUCUCUGUCUGAUAAUCAUAAAAUCACCUAAAUAAAAUAAUGCUUUUCCACCCACUCUCAUGCCAGCAGUUUUAGCUCCAAUAGUUGGUGUAUGAUUAGUCUUUAAAUAACAUAGUCAAGACUGGCAGGAUCAGCAGAAACCCAAUUCUUUUUUUCGGGUUUUUUGGAUUAAAAAUCUUCCCACAAUAUAGAUGAUGCCAGAAACCAUCAUAUGAUCGGGUUGCAGCUUCCCAUGUGAAAUUAUGAGGGCUCGUUUAUGUGUGAUAAGCGUUAGUGCGAAGAGCUCGCUGACAUUUAUGUGUAACAUGAUUUGUGGCGGGAAGAAGACAGAGCCGCCUCCAAUAAUAAGAACCCACCGUCCAAUUGACAGUGUCCUACAACUGUAGGACAGGUCCACCACUAAAAAGCCCCAACCAUCCGAAUAAUUGAAGACCACAAUUGAAGAAGGAAAAUGUUAAGUAUCAAGAAAAAUGAGAGAAGGAUGAGAUAAUGAAGUAUGUGGUGGGAGGAGAGAGAGAAAAAAAAAAGCUAACAGCAGAGAGAGAGAGAGAAGAGGCAAUUCUCUCAUUAUUCUCUAGUUGUUUUUUAUAUUUAGAAUCCCUCGUUGACGAAACCCCUCACUUCCGUAAGAAGACUUGACUUAGAUCAAAUAUAAAAGCUUUUCUUUUGCUUUGGUUGGAAAUCAAGUGAGUUUGGUGUUUCCGAAAAUUUGAAGAGAUUUUUCUACUAAUAAUAUAAAUUUGAAAGAAUUCCCUUCAUAAAUCAAUUUAAAAACUCUUCCAAUAUUUUCUUUAGACUUUCAGUUUCACAGAAUUUGAAAUAUAUAGAUCCUUGAUCCUUUUUGAAUUUCAACCAAACGUAAUUUACAAGUAGAGAUAAGCAAUUUUUCUAGUGAAAAUUUUGGAAAAUGAGAGUAACAAGAACUUGUCCAUAAAUUAACCAAACAAAUCAUUCCUUUGAUCUAUCUUUCUUACUUCGUGAUAGUAAUUUUUUUUUUUUUAAUAAAUCUCAAGAGAGCUAAAAAUUUAUUAAAUGAAAAAGAAGGUACAAAGUCCGUUUAAAAGCUACAAAGACAAAAAAAAAGCUUAUAAAACAAUACUAAACCAUAAUGGAAUUAAAAAAAUCGGUACUUAGGAAUCCCCAAAGUAUCAUCAAGUAGAGACUUUUUAAUUUUUGAGGGAGAAAAAUCUCACCAAGUAAUAUCGGAAAAACCUAAACUGAUGUUGACUAAAGUGUGAGCAACAUCAUUGCCUUCUCUGUAGAUAUGGGAAUAACAAAAAUGCAUAGAUUUUAUCAUAGUUAGGUAAUUGAGUUAUCUAGUGCGGAGCUGCCAAGGAGGCGAGAAUAUGUCACUUUUUAGGUAAAAAUAAGCAGUUAUCUAAUCACAUUCUAACCACAAUGAAUGUUAGCCCUUGUGGUAAGCAAAUUCGAUAGCACAAAUAAUAGUAUAAAGUUCUGCAUAAAAGGAAGUUUGAUUCACAAUUGACAUUGAGAAGUAGCCCAAAAAAAUUUCAUGAGGACCUCUAUAAAUAGCGUUACCAGAAGCUCGACCUGAAUUUCCUUUAGAAAGACCGUCAGUAUUAACUUUAACCUAAGAAAAGAUGGGAGGAUGCCAUAGUAAAAAGUUAGAUAAUUGAUUCUCUCACUCACGCAAAUUUUGAAAGAAUAAUUUAAUUAAUUCGUGUUCGCACAUUGAGUGAGGUGUGUGAAGGGGGGAGAGAGAAAAUAUAUAUUGAACAAUCAUACAGUGAAAAUGAUCAAUAAAACAUGAAUCACAAAUUAACGUGUUGUUUUCACCAUUUUUUUUUUUACUUUUUGCCUCUCACAUUUCUCGCUUUAUAUAUUUACCUACAAGUUUUUCCCUGUCUUUAUUUUUUAAUUAAAGUUCUUCAUUUUUUUAAAAGAGUUAAAAAAUAUCAAACCCAAAAAAAAAAAAAAUUUUGUUGUCCAAAUAAAGUAAAAAAAAAAAAAUCGUUAUUUUGUUGUCAAAAUAAACGUUAUUUAAAAAAAAAAAAAAAGCAACUUUCAACUUUUCAGUAAGAUUCGUCAUACCCAAAAAUCAACAUGAUCCAUCUUAAUCUCUCCUUUGAUGAUUGACGCUAACAUAUUGACUAUUCAUAAACCAUUAGGGCUCCCAUUGUCUUCACGUCCUCGUUUAAUAACAAAGAUAGAAUCUAAAGAUCCAGGAACAUGCAAUACGCGUACACAAAGCUGGAAGCCCAGACCAAACCCCCAGAAACGCAACCAAUGGAAUCGCAAAACAAAUACACGCCAGAGCACCAAACGCCCCCCGUCACGUGGCGGUGGGCAUCCACAAACAGAAUGUUUUUUAUUGCGUGAUGCAUUGCCUUCAAUAGCUUUCAUCAAUUAUCCCUAGCUCAUGAAGCCAAAAUAAAUAAGAUUACAAAUGCCCAUACUAACUGGGCUUUCCGCUCUCUUACGAAACUGAAGCCGAACAUGUGCUCGUGUCGGCUUACAAGGAAAACACACAUGGAAGAGAUGCCGCAAAAAUCGAAGAAAUUCGAUGAUUUGGGUCACAAUUCGACAUCAUCCCCAUGUGCCCGCCUAAUGCAUACGAGAAUCCAAGCACAAGUUUAAUUAUCAUAUGGGGUCUGCUACUCGAUCGGUUUCAACAUAGAAAAGGACCUUAGGCCCCCAAAUUUAUCCGCAUUCAUUUCCAACAACUGCUUCCUUCUCCUUAGCUUACCCGGUCCCUUAUUCAUUCAAUCCUAGCCAUUCGAGAUAAGGAAGAGGACGCACCUAUAUUUGCACAAUUCCAUUAAUUUGUCUCGCAAAUUCUUUGGCAAGAAAUUAACUUAUUCUUAAAAAGAUUAUGCAUUUAGAUAGAAUCAGAAUUAGUUUACAUUAUUUAAAUAUGCUAUUUCACUUAGUAUUUUACUAAUGGAAUUGUUUUGCCAGAUUUUGUCAGCAAACAGUUUUGGUGAAGUGAACCCUGUAAUCAUUCUGACAGCCGAAUAGCGGAGGAAUGCUGCCCGGACAAUAAAGUCAGAAACCUAGCUAAAUAAACAAAUGAAAGAUACAAUAUAGUUAGUGACUGUUUAAAAAGCAAAGCAAACGCUGCAUAUUCUUUCAAGUACCCUUUAAUUUAAUUUAAUAUAAUUAAUUGC
rnacentral:lncRNA from 1 species